rnacentral:rRNA from 1 species
CGGCGGCGGUCCAGUCCCUUGGAAUCGGGCGUCGCAGAGGGUGAGAGCCCCGUACAAGAUCCGUCGCCAAACCCGUGCGAAGCCCUUUCGACGAGUCGAGUUGUUUGGGAAUGCAGCUCUAAAUGGGUGGUAAAUUUCAUCUAAAGCUAAAUAUCUGCCGGAGACCGAUAGGCACAAGUAGAGUGAUCGAAAGAUGAAACCCCCUUUGAAAAGAGAGUUAAACAGUACGUGAAAUUGUUGAAAGGGAAGCGCUUGGAACCAGACUCGCUCGCGGGUGCUCAGCCGUCCUCCGGGGCGGCGUACUCUCCCGCGAACGGGCCAGCAUCGGUUCCGGCGGCUGGACAAAGGCCCUGGGAACGUGGCUCUCUCCGGAGAGUGUUAUAGCCCGGGGUGCAAUGCAGCCCGCCGGGGCCGAGGACCGCGCUUCUGCUAGGAUGCUGGCGUAAUGGUUUCCAGCGGCCCGUCUUGAAACACGGACCAAGGAGUGGACCAACCGCGCGAGUGCUUGGGCGUCAAACCCCGGCGCGCAAUGAAAGUG